UACGGAGGGUGCAAGCAUUGUCCGGAUUUAUUGGGUUUAAAGGGUGCGUAGGCGGCCCUGUAAGUCAGCGGUGAAAUCCCAGGGCUCAACCCUGGAACUGCCGUUGAUACUGCAGGGCUUGAGUUCGGUUAAGGCGGGCGGAACUGGUGGUGUAGCGGUGAAAUGCAUAGAUACCACCAAGAACCCCGAUUGCGUAGGCAGCUCGCUGAGCCGAAACUGACGCUGAGGCACGAAAGCGUGGGGAGCGAACAGG
rnacentral:rRNA from 1 species